UACGGAGGGUGCGAGCGUUGUCCGGAAUCACUGGGCGUAAAGGGCGCGUAGGUGGCCUCUUAAGUGUGUGGUGAAAGCCCGGGGCUCAACCCCGGGUCGGCCAUGCAAACUGGGGGGGCUUGAGCAUUGUAGAGGCAGGCGGAAUUCCGGGGUGAUAGCGGUGGAAUGCGUAGAGAUCCGGAAGAACACCGGUGGCGAAGGCGGCCUGCUGGGCAAUUGCUGACACUGAGGCGCGACAGCGUGGGGAGCAAACAGGG
rnacentral:rRNA from 1 species